rnacentral:rRNA from 1 species
UACUCGAGUGGCGAACGGGUGAGUAACACGUGGGUUAUCUGCCCUGCACUUCGGGAUAAGCCUGGGAAACUGGGUCUAGUACCGGAUAGGAGCCAUUUUUAGUGUGAUGGUUGGAAAGUUUUUUCGGUGUAGGAUGAGCUCGCGGCCUAUCAGCUUGUUGGUGGGGUAAUGGCCUACCAAGGCGUCGACGGGUAGCCGGCCUGAGAGGGUGGACGGCCACAUUGGGACUGAGAUACGGCCCAG